CCACAAAGAUGAUAACCACUUGAACUCUCUCUUUCUGAGCUCACAGUGGAGAUAACCUCACUGGCUGAGUGGC